ACACACACACAGGUUAGCAAUGAUGGAAGAACUCGUUUACUAACACACCCACACAGGUUAGCAAUGAUGGAAGAACUCGUAUACUAACACACACACACAGGUUAGCAAUGAUGGAAGAACUGGUAUACUAACUAACACACACACAGGUUAGCAAUGAUGGAAGAACUCGUAUACUACCUAACACACACACAGGUUAGCAAUGAUGGAAGAACUGGUAUACUAACUAACACACACAGGUUAGCAAUGAUGGAAGAACUCGUAUACUACCUAACACACACACAGGUUAGCAAUGAUGGAAGAACUGGUAUACUAACUAACACACACAGGUUAGCAAUGAUGGAAGAACUCGUAUACUACCUAACACACACACAGGUUAGCAAUGAUGGAAGAACUGGUAUACUAACACACAGGUUAGCAAUGAUGGAAGAACUUGUAUACUAACUAACACACACAGGUUAGCAAUGAUGGAAGAACUUGUAUACUAACUAACACACACAGGUUAGCAAUGAUGAAAGAACCCGUAUACUACCUAACACACACACACACACAGGUUAGCAAUGAUAGAAGAACUCGUAUACUACCUAACACACACACACACAGGUUAGCAAUGAUGAAAGAACUCAUAUACUAACACACCCACACAGGUUAGCAAUGAUGGAAGAACUCGUAUACUAACACACACACACAGGUUAGCAAUGAUGGAAGAACUGGUAUACUAACUAACACACACAGGUUAGCAAUGAUGGAAGAACUCGUAUACUACCUAACACACACACAGGUUAGCAAUGAUGGAAGAACUGGUAUACUAACUAACACACACAGGUUAGCAAUGAUGGAAGAACUCGUAUACUACCUAACACACACACAGGUUAGCAAUGAUGGAAGAACUGGUAUACUAACACACAGGUUAGCAAUGAUGGAAGAACUUGUAUACUAACUAACACACACAGGUUAGCAAUGAUGGAAGAACUUGUAUACUAACUAACACACACAGGUUAGCAAUGAUGAAAGAACCCGUAUACUACCUAACACACACACACACACAGGUUAGCAAUGAUAGAAGAACUCGUAUACUACCUAACACACACAC